rnacentral:rRNA from 1 species
UACGGAGGGUGCAAGCGUUAUCCGGAUUCACUGGGUUUAAAGGGUGCGUAGGUGGGUUGGUAAGUCCGUGGUGAAAUCUCCGAGCUUAACUCGGAAACUGCCGUGGAUACUCUCAAUCUUGAAUACUGUGGAGGUAAGCGGAAUAUGUCAUGUAGCGGUGAAAUGCUUAGAUAUGACAUAGAACACCGAUAGCGAAGGCAGCUUGCUACACAGUCAUUGACACUGAGGCACGAAAGCGUGGGGAGCAAACAGG